rnacentral:rRNA from 1 species
UACGUAGGGGGCAAGCGUUGUCCGGAAUUACUGGGCGUAAAGCGCACGUAGGCGGCUUUGUAAGUUAGAGGUGAAAGCCCGGGGCUCAACUCCGGAAUUGCCUUUAAGACUGCAUCGCUAGAAUUGUGGAGAGGUAAGUGGAAUUCCGAGUGUAGAGGUGAAAUUCGUAGAUAUUCGGAAGAACACCAGUGGCGAAGGCGACUUACUGGACACAUAUUGACGCUGAGACGCGAAAGCGUGGGGAGCGAACAGG